GAUGAACGCUGGCGGCGUGCCUAAUACAUGCAAGUCGAGCGAACAGACGAGGAGCUUGCUCCUCUGACGUUAGCGGCGGACGGGUGAGUAACACGUGGAUAACCUACCUAUAAGACUGGGAUAACUUCGGGAAACCGGAGCUAAUACCGGAUAAUAUAUUGAACCGCAUGGUUCAAUAGUGAAAGACGGUUUUGCUGUCACUUAUAGAUGGAUCCGCGCCGCAUUAGCUAGUUGGUAAGGUAACGGCUUACCAAGGCAACGAUGCGUAUCCGACCUGAGAGGGUGAUCGGCCACACUGGAACGGAAACACGGUCCAGACUCCUACGGGAGGCAGCAGUAGGGAAUCUUCCGCAAUGGGCGAAAGCCUGACGGAGCAACGCCGCGUGAGUGAUGAAGGUCUUCGGAUCGUAAAACUCUGUUAUUAGGGAAGAACAAAUGUGUAAGUAACUAUGCACGUCUUGACGGUACCUAAUCAGAAAGCCACGGCUAACUACGUG
rnacentral:rRNA from 1 species